UGCUAACUGUGUUGCUGCUCCCUUGCUAAU
rnacentral:piRNA from 1 species